UGAGUAACACGUAGGUAAUCUACCUUUUGCCGGUGUACAGCCAAAAGAAAUUCUGAUUAAUACACCAUAAUAUAAAGAUUCUGCAUGGACCCUUUAUUAAAGCUUAAAGUGGCAAGAGAUGAGCCUGCGUCUGAUUAGGUUCGUUGGUGAGGUAAAGGCUCUACCAAGACUAUUAUCAGUAGGGGUCCUUAGUGGGAAAACCUCCACACUGGAACUGAGACAAGGACCAGACUUCUACGGGAGGCAGCAGUGAGGAAUAUUGGUCAAUGGAGGAAACUCUGAACCAGCUAUGCCGUGUGUAGGAUGACAGUCUUUUAGAUUGUAAACUACUUUUGUUUAGAAAUAAAAGUUCCUACGUGGUAGGAAUCUGAAGGUACUAUGAGAAUAAGUGUCGGCUAAUUUCGUGCCAGCAGCCGCGGUAAUACGAGAGACACAAGCGUUAUCCGGAUUUAUUGGGUUUAAAGGGUGUGUAGGCUGUUUAUUAAGUCAGUAGUGAAAGCUUACAGCUUAACUGUAAAAUUGCUAUUGAAACUGGUUCUCUAGAGUAAGAUUGGAGCGUCUGGAAUGUAUGGUGUAGCGGUGAAAUGCGUAGAUAUCAUACAGAACACCAAUAGCGAAGGCAGGAUGCUAAAUCUUUACUGACGCUGAGUCACUAAAGCGUGGGUAGCAAACAGGAUUAGAUACCCUGGUAGUCCACGCCCUAAACUAUGAUCACUAGCUAUUGGAAAAACUAUAUUCAGUGGCUAAGCGAAAGCGAUAAGUGAUCCACCUGGGGAGUACGAUUUCAAGAUUGAAACUCAAAGGAAUUGACGGGGUUUCGCACAAGCGGUGGAGCAUGUGGUUUAAUUCGAUGAUACGCGAGGAACCUUACCAAGGCUUAAUGUGUAACGAAUAAGCUGGAAACAGUUUAGUCUAAUAAGACGUAAUACAAGGUGCUGCAUGGUUGUCUUCAGUUCGUGCUGUGAAGUGUUUGGUUAAGUCCUAUAACGAGCGCAACCCCUAUUGUUUGUUACCAUCGGGUAAAGCCGGGUACUCUAACAAAACAGCCGGUGCAAAUCGUGAGGAAGGUGGGGAUAAUGUCAAAUCAUCAUGGCCUCUAUACCUUGGGCUACACACGUGCUACAAUGGCUGGUACAAAAGCAGCCACUGGGUGACCAGGAGCUAAUCUCUAAACCCAGUCUAAGUUCGGAUUGGAGUCUGCAAUUCGACUCUAUGAAGCUGGAAUCGCUAGUAAUCGCGCAUCAGCAAUGGCG
rnacentral:rRNA from 1 species